rnacentral:rRNA from 1 species
GGUUAAGCGACUAAGCGUACACGGUGGAUGCCCUGGCAGUCAGAGGCGAUGAAGGACGUGCUAAUCUGCGAAAAGCGUCGGUAAGGUGAUAUGAACCGUUAUAACCGGCGAUGUCCGAAUGGGGAAACCCAGUGCAAUUCGUUGCACUAUCGUUAACUGAAUACAUAGGUUAACGAGGCGAACCGGGGGAACUGAAACAUCUAAGUACCCCGAGGAAAAAAAAUCAACCGAGAUUCCCCCAGUAGCGGCGAGCGAACGGGGAGCAGCCCAGAGUCUGAAUCAGCUUGUGUGUUAGUGGAACGGUCUGGAAAGUCCGACGGUACAGGGUGAUAGUCCCGUACACCAAAAUGCACAGGUUGUGAACUCGAAGAGUAGGGCGGGACACGUGGUAUCCUGUCUGAAUAUGGGGGGACCAUCCUCCAAGGCUAAAUACUCCUGACUGACCGAUAGUGAACCAGUACCGUGAGGGAAAGGCGAAAAGAACCCCGGCGAGGGGAGUGAAAAAGAACCUGAAACCGUGUACGUACAAGCAGUGGGAGCACCUUCGGGUGUGACUGCGUACCUUUUGUAUAAUGGGUCAGCGACUUAUAUUCUGUAGCAAGGUUAACCGUAUAGGGGAGCCGCAGGGAAACCGAGUCUUAACUGGGCGUUAAGUUGCAGGGUAUAGACCCGAAACCCGGUGAUCUAGCCAUGGGCAGGUUGAAGGUUGGGUAACACUAACUGGAGGACCGAACCGACUAAUGUUGAAAAAUUAGCGGAUGACUUGUGGCUGGGGGUGAAAGGCCAAUCAAACCGGGAGAUAGCUGGUUCUCCCCGAAAGCUAUUUAGGUAGCGCCUCGUGAAUUCAUCUUCGGGGGUAGAGCACUGUUUCGGCUAGGGGGUCAUCCCGACUUACCAACCCGAUGCAAACUACGAAUACCGAAGAAUGUUAUCACGGGAGACACACGGCGGGUGCUAACGUCCGUCGUGAAGAGGGAAACAACCCAGACCGCCAGCUAAGGUCCCAAAGUCAUGGUUAAGUGGGAAACGAUGUGGGAAGGCACAGACAGCCAGGAUGUUGGCUUAGAAGCAGCCAUCAUUUAAAGAAAGCGUAAUAGCUCACUGGUCGAGUCGGCCUGCGCGGAAGAUGUAACGGGGCUAAACCAUGCACCGAAGCUGCGGCAGCGACACUAUGUGUUGUUGGGUAGGGGAGCGUUCUGUAAGCCUGCGAAGGUGUGCUGUGAGGCAUGCUGGAGGUAUCAGAAGUGCGAAUGCUGACAUAAGUAACGAUAAAGCGGGUGAAAAGCCCGCUCGCCGGAAGACCAAGGGUUCCUGUCCAACGUUAAUCGGGGCAGGGUGAGUCGACCCCUAAGGCGAGGCCGAAAGGCGUAGUCGAUGGGAAACAGGUUAAUAUUCCUGUACUUGGUGUUACUGCGAAGGGGGGACGGAGAAGGCUAUGUUAGCCGGGCGACGGUUGUCCCGGUUUAAGCAUGUAGGCUGGUUAUCCAGGCAAAUCCGGAUAAUCAAGGCUGAGGUGUGAUGACGAGGCACUACGGUGCUGAAGUAACAAAUGCCCUGCUUCCAGGAAAAGCCUCUAAGCAUCAGGUAACAUCAAAUCGUACCCCAAACCGACACAGGUGGUCAGGUAGAGAAUACCAAGGCGCUUGAGAGAACUCGGGUGAAGGAACUAGGCAAAAUGGUGCCGUAACUUCGGGAGAAGGCACGCUGGUGUGUAGGUGAAGUCCCUGCGGAUGGAGCUGAGACCAGUCGAAGAUACCAGCUGGCUGCAACUGUUUAUUAAAAACACAGCACUGUGCAAACACGAAAGUGGACGUAUACGGUGUGACGCCUGCCCGGUGCCGGAAGGUUAAUUGAUGGGGUUAUCCGUAAGGAGAAGCUCUUGAUCGAAGCCCCGGUAAACGGCGGCCGUAACUAUAACGGUCCUAAGGUAGCGAAAUUCCUUGUCGGGUAAGUUCCGACCUGCACGAAUGGCGUAAUGAUGGCCAGGCUGUCUCCACCCGAGACUCAGUGAAAUUGAACUCGCUGUGAAGAUGCAGUGUACCCGCGGCAAGACGGAAAGACCCCGUGAACCUUUACUAUAGCUUGACACUGAACAUUGAGCCUUGAUGUGUAGGAUAGGUGGGAGGCUUUGAAGCGUGGACGCCAGUCUGCGUGGAGCCAACCUUGAAAUACCACCCUUUAAUGUUUGAUGUUCUAACGUUGGCCCCUUACCGGGGUUGCGGACAGUGUCUGGUGGGUAGUUUGACUGGGGCGGUCUCCUCCCAAAGCGUAACGGAGGAGCACGAAGGUUAGCUAAUCCUGGUCGGACAUCAGGAGGUUAGUGCAAUGGCAUAAGCUAGCUUGACUGCGAGCGUGACGGCGCGAGCAGGUGCGAAAGCAGGUCAUAGUGAUCCGGUGGUUCUGAAUGGAAGGGCCAUCGCUCAACGGAUAAAAGGUACUCCGGGGAUAACAGGCUGAUACCGCCCAAGAGUUCAUAUCGACGGCGGUGUUUGGCACCUCGAUGUCGGCUCAUCACAUCCUGGGGCUGAAGUAGGUCCCAAGGGUAUGGCUGUUCGCCAUUUAAAGUGGUACGCGAGCUGGGUUUAGAACGUCGUGAGACAGUUCGGUCCCUAUCUGCCGUGGGCGCUGGAGAAUUGAGGGGGGCUGCUCCUAGUACGAGAGGACCGGAGUGGACGCAUCACUGGUGUUCGGGUUGUCAUGCCAAUGGCACUGCCCGGUAGCUAAAUGCGGAAGAGAUAAGUGCUGAAAGCAUCUAAGCACGAAACUUGCCCCGAGAUGAGUUCUCCCUGAGACUCUAAGUCUCCUGAAGGAACGUUAAAGACGAUGACGUUGAUAGGCCGGGUGUGUAAGCGCAGCGAUGCGUUGAGCUAACCGGUACUAAUGAACCGUGAGGCUUAACCUU